rnacentral:rRNA from 1 species
GAUGAACGCUGGCGGCGUGCCUAAUACAUGCAAGUCGAGCGAACAUACUCUGAUGUUUGUCCUAGAACAUUUUCGCGGCGAGCGGGUGAGUAACAUGUAUAGAAUCUGUAUCAUACACUGGUACAUUCAUUGGAACCGAUCGCUAAUCCCGUAUAAUAGUAAUCCUCAUAUGUCAGUAAUUUAAAAGUUGGUUACGCUAACAUAUUGAGGUGGCCUUGCGGUGCAUUAGCUAGUUGGUGGGGUAAAGGCACACCAAGGACACGAUGCAUAGCCGACCUGAGAGGGUGAUCGGCCACACUGGAACUGAGACACGGCCCAGACUCCUACGGGAGGCAGCAGUAGGGAAUCUUCCGCAAUGGGCGAAAGCUUGACGGAGCAACGCCGCGUGAGUGAUGAAGGUUUUCGGUUCGUAAAGCUCUGUUAUUAGGGAAGAAUAAAUGUGUAGGAAACUAACAAGUUAUUGACGGUACCUAACCAGAAAGCCACGGCUAACUACGUG